rnacentral:lncRNA from 1 species
UUAACUCGGUCCAAAUAUCACCAUCUCCUUGCUUUCCCUGUUCUUUCAAUCACAAAAGGUGAUCUUGAGAAACUACAAAAUUCAAAUAUGUUGUGUCUUGAAAACCAAAGAUGUCUACAACGCAAAGUUUGGUUUUACAUGCAUAAUGCUAAGUUUUAGAAGGCACAGUCGUGAAAACCAUCUUUAAUUUUUUCAAGAACACUUUUCAAUUUUAAAGAUAG